CCACCUGAGUGUAGGCGCUGGGAAGCAGCAGCCACAAAUAAAAAGGUUCCAGGAAGAUGACAGGGGCAUGGGAGGCAGCUAGGGUCACUUCUGACCUAGGCUGGGACACUGUGGUCCUAGAAGACACCAGGUUCCAGCCCCUGAAAUCCUACUUGUGGGACUCCAGUGAGCACAGGAGACAACGGGGACUUCUGGACCACCCCCUGAGGUGGAAGAGUGCCGCCCUUGGGAAGGAGGGUAGCCCUGAACCCCACCCCUCAUUCGAGCCCGGCCGCCAGACCUGGCACACCCUCCAUAGCAGCCGACGCCCGCCUCCUGGCCCCGCCCACGAUGGCCCCGCCCACGAUGGCCCCGCCCCGCGAUGGAUCCGCCCGUGCUGGCCCCGCCCCACACCUGUUCCUCGCCAGAGCGGGUGGCUCAGCGCCGCGGACGCAGCUUGCAGCCCCGACGCGCUCCACCAGACCCCACUACCGGAAUGAGGAAACUGAGGCUCUGCGAGAAAGUAAUGUCAGCGCCAUACCAGCAGGGGCUGGAUGGGACUGCGGGGUUUCCCAAGCACUCCCCACCUUUAGUGAGCGCCAGCAUUCCACCUUCACGUCACUUCCUGCUACAGGUUGAUCGGAGAAACUGAGGCCCAAAGCAUCGGCAGCCCUUGCCAGGCCAGGUCUCCCGGUGCAAGAAUGGCUCCAAGGGACCUGCACCCAGUGUGCACAGACCCGCACCUCUGAGCCCUCUGGAUAUGCUCUUCAGGCGAGCUGAGUAGGAGUGCAUGGAGCAGCUGGGAGCCCAGGACAGGACCAGCCCUGUCCCCACCGCUGGAGCAGCAGGUGGUCGUGGCUCCCUAGAUCAAAGGGCUGGCAGGGAGGGGGGUUGGGGGAGGCACAAUGUCUUCCCCGCUUGCUCACUCCAGCACCCAUCAGGGUGCAAAGUGAGCCCUUGGGCCAGCAGGACGGUGGUCCUGGGGACCAUCACUCACUCCUGAGCAGCGAGGGUCUCACAUGGCACACAGGAUCGCCCUUGCAUAGGCUUCGGAGAGCAAACUGAAAUUGUCCCCUACCUGUCCCUGGACCUCAGGCAGGCACUGGCUCUGACCCCCUCCCACCCCCACUCCGCGUCUGCCUCAGACAUUUGCUUCUUUUGAAUUCAGUCACUAUGGCAGGAUUUAUGUGAUCAGAAAGUAAAUAGUUUUAAACUGGGCGGGGGACGCCCACCCCAGGUGGUGACUGCACCUGCUACCCCCUUCUUAUUGAGGUUUCUUCUCAGCCGCUGCCCCAACAGCUCAGCAAAGUCACAAGGCAAAAAGAAGUGGGGGGUGCUGGCAGCUCACAUCCAUAAUUAACAGAGGUCCUAGGAGUCCGAAAGAAGGGGGUCAACACGCCUGUCAUCAGUAAAGGAGGAAUCCAACUUGCGGGCCGCUCAAUUCUGACCAGGCCCAGAACUUCACAUUUCAUGGGUCCAAGCAGCACAAUCCAAGAUCCUAAGCCCUGUGUGGGCCUGCCAGUGGAGAGGGCCGCCCACCCCCCCACAGGGCACCUCCCCGGGCUUCUGGUCCUGCUCCCCUGCACUUCCUACUAUUUCCCCACUAGAACAUCAGCUCUUAAGGAUGGGGCCCCACCUGGCCAUGGUGCCGGGCAUCCAGCAGGUACUCCAGAAAUGCACUUAAAGCCUGACUCCAUGAGCUGAACAAAGACGGGUUGGAGGCAGGAGGGGCGUGGGGUGCCAUGAAGGGUGGCCCGUGUGGCUGGAGCUGACCAUACAAAGGGACUGGGUGAUGAGGGGCCUGAAUGCUGAGGAGCAAGGACGUUCUCCCACGUUCUCACACCACCAAGGCCCACCAUUCAUUCCUUCACUCUCUCAUUCCUGUAACACACAUCUCCUGAACGCCGGCUGCGUGGCCCACCCAGAUCUAGAUUACAGGGAAGGUAGAGGGGGGCCCUGCCCCAACAGAGGUUCCACUGAUAUUAACCAAAUGAAGCGUGUAAGAGGCUAGAGACCUCCUGGAGAGGCUGCCCAUGCCCAAGGGGGCCCCACCAUCCUCCCAACCCGGGUCGCACCCUUCUGCCAUCUCAUUCCAUGGCAAAUCAGGCUGGCCUGUUCGAGGGUGACGGGUGACAGAGUCAGCUAGGUGCCCUCUGAGGCCGGGUGGUAAGGAGCACUGUGGCUCCCCUCCUGGGCCGCCUGCUCUAGAGGAGGAGCGGUCCCCGUGUGCUGAGGACACUCAGGCCGCGCUGCAGUGAACCCUGUGCCGGCAGGAGCUGAGACCCACAGCCAGGAGCUGGCACCUGUCCUAGAAGCGCGUCCCUGGCCCCAGCAAGCCUUGAGAGAAUGCCCCAGCCUCACGAGACCCUGAGCCAGAGCCACCCUGCCCCCACCUCACACAGAGCGGUAACAGGUGCUAAUUAUUUCUGAGCCACUACAUUUCGGGGUCACUGGUUAUGUGGCAGCGUAAAAGGAACAUGCCAGACAUCCGAGUGGAUGGCCGGCCGAAGCAAGGGAGAGCUCCACAUGAUCGCUGAGGAGGGCGUGGGGAUUUCUGAUUGCUCCAUCUGAAAAUAGCCUCUGUAUACACCAAACAAUUGAGAGCAUGGUCUCCCAGAUGUCUGCACACCCAUGUUCACAGCAGCCGAGAGGUAGAAGCCAUCCAGUGUCCACCGCCAGAUGGAAGGACAUACAGAUGUGGCAUAGAUACACGGUGGGUUCAGCCUUAAAAAGAAAGGGUGUUCUGACACCUGCUGUGACAGCUGUGGGCUUUAGGGGAACAGGAUGGCUUUAAAGGCGUCCACCCCUGCCUGGUCCUCCUCCCCCACAGAAGGGGAGCCCCACUGCCCUCCUCGUUGGGUGGGAUGCAGCGGCCGUGCACUGGCAUGACUUCCCAGGCCCCUGAAAGGCAAGGCUUGCACUCAGGACUCAUCAUGGACACUGGCCACCAGGAUGCAAGGAGACCCAGGCCACACGAGACAGCCGCCACCAGUGAGGUCUCUGCUGACAGCUGCAGUGUCCAGAGGUGUGAGCCGGCCAGCCUCCACGUGGCCUGGUGCCAGCCAGCGGCUGACCACGCUGCCCAGCACAGCCCCCCAAGCCCAGAGCAUUGAGCAGGAGUGAAAAGA